rnacentral:tRNA from 1 species
UCCCCAGUGGCACAAUGGGUGUGGCAGGACUACUAACUUGAAGAUUGAGUUGCUGACCUGAAGGUUGCUGGUUCGAAUCCAACCUGGGGAG